GAUGAAGAACGCAGCGAAAUGCGAUAAGUAAUGCGAAUUGCAGAAUUCCAGUGAGUCAUCGAAUCUUUGAACGCACAUUGCGCCCUUUGGUAUUCCGAAGGGCAUGCCUGUUCGAGCGUCAUUAUCACCCCUCAAGCCCUCGGCUUGAUGUUGGACGGUUUGGUGGAGGCCCCCUCGGGGGCUCCUGCCCCUCCCAAAGACAAUGACGGCGGCCUCGUUGGACCCCCGGUACACUGAGUUCUUCACGGGACACGUAUCGGACACAUGGGUUUACGGGACACGGUCUGCCUCCCCUCAGGGAGAAUCUUUCUAAGGUUGACCUCGGAUCAGGUAGGGAUACCCGCUGAACUUAAGCAUAUCAAUAAGCGGAGGA
rnacentral:misc_RNA from 1 species